CCUACGGGGUGCAGCAGUCGAGAAUCAUUCACAAUGGGGGAAACCCUGAUGGUGCGACGCCGCGUGGGGGAAUGAAGGUCUUCGGAUUGUAAACCCCUGUCAUGUGGGAGCAAAUUAAAAAGAUAGUACCACAAGAGGAAGAGACGGCUAACUCUGUGCCAGCAGCCGCGGUAAUACAGAGGUCUCAAGCGUUGUUCGGAAUCACUGGGCGUAAAGCGUGCGGAGGCUGUUUCGUAAGUCGUGUGUGAAAGGCGCGGGCUCAACCCGCGGACGGCACAUGAUACUGCGAGACUAGAGUAAGGGAGGGGGAAGCGGAAGUCGGGGUGGAGGAGUGAAAUGCGAAGA
rnacentral:rRNA from 1 species